rnacentral:lncRNA from 1 species
GCAGAGGCUUUGGAUGAGAAGGGCUGGCUCCAUGCCCACCUCUGCCACAACUCCAUUGACCAAAUACCAGCCCGCUCGCCUAGCCUGUGAAAUCGUGGGAUUGCGGUCAACGAGUGCUGAGGUUCUCUCCAGCUCUUAAUCUGACCAUGGCAUAAAAGGUAGGUGAAGCGACCUAUUGUUCUCAUAAGAACUCCAUCCUCCAAUUUUUUUUUUCUGAAAGUCCAGCUUGUGGUCACCUCUCCUUGCCAGUGCAGCUCUAUAGCCCAGGACAGAUUCUAGGAUGCCCCAUCCCAACCUCGGCUGCCCGGUCAUCGUAAAGAUGGGUGAGAGCACAGCAAGCAUGGGUCCUGGCUUCAGAUCCUCUGUUGAAGGCAAGGAUGCAUUUUAGGGAACUUUUAUUCUUAACUGUUUAAACAAAAGAAGUCUUGAUGUCUGGAAGGACAGGUCUCUGUCAUCUGAAAACCGCCCCAGUAUGAACCCCUCAGGCUGCCACGAUGUAGGACAAACGGCCAAUCCUCUCCCAGGAUGCGGUGGGUUCCACUCCUGUGGCUUUUGCUUGUUUCAUUUUGGUGUCUUAGAUGCCAUGGCCACUUACGCCUUUGCAGAAAGUGUGAAAGGGGCAGCUUCUCAUCCAAAUAUCAACCUGAAAAGCAAAGAGGCUCAGAACAGGGGCUGUCUGUAUUCACAAAAUAAUACCAUGCUAAUGAACCGCACCGCAGAGACUCUGUACAGCAAUUCUGAUUUCUAAUGGAAUCUGGAAGAGGGGCUCAUUAGAGAUGCUAGGCGUGUCAUUCACUUUAAUUAAUAUUUGAGCUGGGAGAGCUCGGAGAAGCCAGCCCAACGAAUGAGAUUUCAAAGAGAGGGAGGGGAGGAAGGGGCAGGAUAUUGACAUGAAUAAAGGCGACCUUAAUUAAAGGAUUAAUGAUGACAAUAACAAUAAAAAAAAUCGCCCCAUCCUCACUUUGUUUCUGCAGUGGCAAAGUCCUGCUUGAGGCAGCACCAGGCUGAGAACGGCCUUCACAGCUUGGAGGAAGGGACGUGCCGGGUGGGGGUGGGGGGGCUGUGCAGGGAAUUCCUGGGCCUCUGUUGUCUGGGAUUUUUUGCACAGUGGAAUGUUUAGGGCCUGAUCUGACUGAAUUGUCCCUUCCAAUCUUUCACUUCUGCAGGUAGGUAUAGACUCACCAACCUCCUUUAAAAAGAGCGCCCUUCAGAAGCCUUAAUGAGCACAGCUAUGUCUCUAUCCCAACCCUAAAAUAUAAAAUUAGGGCCAGGAGGUGCAAUAAAUCCCCCUUUCUUGCCAGGUGUGGUGGCUCACGCUUGUAAUCCCAGUGGCUUAUGAGGCUGAGGCAGGAGAAUCGUGAGUUCAAAGCCAGCCUCUGUCAACUCAGUGAGACCCUGUUUCUAAAUAAAAUACAAAAAAGGGCUGUGGAUGUGGCUCAGUGGUUGAGCGCCCCUGGGUUCAUCCCUGGUAUUAAAAAAAAAAAUGCUUUUCCCUCUAUGGCUACUUGAAUGACUUUUGGAGGAAAGAUGAAGAAGUCAAGAGUUUUCAAAAUAAUGUCUGGAUCCACUCUGAUUUUACUAAAGCCUGUGCUGCUUUUGCCUGGUGUCCCCCCUCCCCACCCUCACCCCUCCCCCUCCUCCGCUGGAGGGCAGCUCAAAUGAUGGAGGUGACCACUGCAGUGUUCUGAAUUUACCCGCUCACUGCCCACUGUCCUGUCUUUCAGGCCUUCCUUGGGAUCUCGGACUACAUUCAUCUGCGAGGCUGCCAUAGCACAGUACGACCCUGGGUGGCUCACACACCACUGAAAUUUAUUUUCUUACACUUCUGUGGCAGGAAGUCUAAGAGCACCAUUCAGGCAGGGUGGGUUUCUCCGGAGGCCUCUCUCUGGCUUGUAGAUGGCCAUGCUCUCUCUGGGUCGUCACAAGGCCAUUUCUGCAUGUGUGUCUGCAUCCUGAUUUCCUCUUCUUAUAAGGACAGCUGUCGAAUGGGAGUAGGGUGCAAGCUUCUCACCUCAUUUGUUCUCCAGUCCCUCUUUAAAGACAGAAUCUCCAAAUACAGCCAUGUUCCAUAUUCACAGGAGUUAAGAUUGCAACAUAUAAAUUUAGGGACACCACCGAGCCCAUCACAGGGACUAAAAAACAAAUGAAACCAGAACACUCAGUGUUCCCUUGGAGUCAGCCUUCACCAUGCUACUUUAUUUGUGUGUGGAUCUUUUUCUGUGCCCCUUUUUCUUUGCCCAACAAGCAGAGGCUGCAGGGGCCCAGGGGAAGGGCUUUGUCUCAUCUCACUCCAUGACUGAAGGGAGAAGGUUUAAACAGACUGGCGAGGAUGUGUAUCUUGCUGAGUUUCCCAAAUUAAGAUUCUGUUUAAAGUGAACUGAAUGCAGAGACUACAGUUAAGAUUAUAAAUAAACUUUCUUAAGCAUUUAAACCUACACAAUUAAUUAUGAAUAUCUUAUACAACUCUGUCUGUAAGUAAACUCACCGCGCUGGGUUUCAUUAGCCCACCAAUCCCUCUGCACACAGCAAAUUGGCAACACUCGCUGGCCAGAAGUGGCUCAAGCUGGCUCUCUCUGCUCCUCGUGUCAGUUGUCAUCGGCAGAGGUGGCCCAGGU